rnacentral:rRNA from 1 species
GCCUACGGGGGGCAGCAGUCGAGAAUCAUUCGCAAUGGGGGAAACCCUGAUGGUGCGACGCCGCGUGGGGGAAUGAAGGUCUUCGGAUUGUAAACCCCUGUCAUGUGGGAGCAAAUUAAAAAGAUAGUACCACAAGAGGAAGAGACGGCUAACUCUGUGCCAGCAGCCGCGGUAAUACAGAGGUCUCAAGCGUUGUUCGGAAUCACUGGGCGUAAAGCGUGCGUAGGCUGUUUCGUAAGUCGUGUGUGAAAGGCGCGGGCUCAACCCGCGGACGGCACAUGAUACUGCGAGACUAGAGUAAUGGG